GAUGAACGCUGGCGGCGUGCUUAACACAUGCAAGUCGAACGAAGCACUUACUUGGAAGUUUUCGGAUGGAAGAGUAAGUGACUGAGUGGCGGACGGGUGAGUAACGCGUGGGCAACCUGCCCCAUACCGGGGGAUAACAGCUGGAAACGGCUGCUAAUACCGCAUAAGCGCACAGUCUCGCAUGAGACAGUGUGAAAACUCCGGUGGUAUGGGAUGGGCCCGCGUCUGAUUAGCUAGUUGGUGAGGGAGAGGCUCACCAAGGCGACGAUCAGUAGCCGACCUGAGAGGGUGACCGGCCACAUUGGGACUGAGACACGGCCCAA
rnacentral:rRNA from 1 species